AACGAACGCUGGCGGCAUGCCUAACACAUGCAAGUCGAACGAGACCUUCGGGUCUAGUGGCGCACGGGUGCGUAACGCGUGGGAACCUGCCCUUAGGUUCGGAAUAACUCCCCGAAAGGGGUGCUAAUACCGGAUAAUGUCUUCGGACCAAAGAUUUAUCGCCUUUGGAUGGGCCCGCGUUGGAUUAGCUAGUUGGUAGGGUAAAAGCCUACCAAGGCGACGAUCCAUAGCUGGUCUGAGAGGAUGAUCAGCCACACAGGGACUGAGACACGGACCAGACUACUACGGGAGGCAGCAGUGGGGAAUAUUGGACAAUGGGCGAAAGCCUGAUCAAGCCAUGCCGCGUGAGUGAUGAAGGCCUUAGGGUUGUAAAGCUCUUUUACCCGAGAUGAUAAUGACAGUACCGGGAGAAUAAGCUCCGGCUAACUCCGUG
rnacentral:rRNA from 1 species